UACGUAGGUGGCAAGCGUUGUCCGGAUUUAUUGGGUUUAAAGGGUGCGUAGGCGGUCCUAUAAGUCAGUUGUGAAAUACGGCAGCUUAACUGUCGAGGUGCAAUUGAUACUGCAGGACUUGAGUACAGACGAGGUAGGCGGAAUUGACGGUGUAGCGGUGAAAUGCUUAGAUAUCGUCAAGAACACCUAUAGCGAAGGCAGCUUACUAGGCUGUAACUGACGCUGAGGCACGAAAGUGUGGGGAUCAAACAGG
rnacentral:rRNA from 1 species